rnacentral:rRNA from 1 species
GACGUAGGGCGCGAGCGUUGUCCGGAUUUAUUGGGUGUAACGAAGCGUCGUAGGCGGCUUGUCGCGUCGUCCGUGAAAACCCACAGCUCAACUGUGGGCUUGCGGUCGAUACGGGCAGGCUAGAGUUCGGUAGGGGAGACUGGAAUUCCUGGUGUAGCGGUGAAAUGCGCAGAUAUCAGGAGGAACACCGAUGGCGAAGGCAGGUCUCUGGGCCAUAACUGACGCUGAGAAGCGAAAGCAUGGGGAGCGAACAGG